AAAUGCAGCAUAACAUGAAGCAGGAUAUACAAUAGCUUUGCCCAAAAGAUAAGAAAGUGUAUUAUUUUAUGUAACCUAAAAAAUGGUUUUGAUGGAGCUCAUCAAGAAAGGAGUGUUUACCAGUUACACAGCUUGUGAGAGAUGCGCUGAUACAGAGCACUUUUUCAGGGGAGUCCUGUAUGAGAAGUGAAUUGUUAUCAAUAAGCCUUGGACGUGUGAAAAUGCGUUUGCUCAUGAGGGAGCCAUACUGACUAAAUUCUGUGAAACACUUAAAGGUCUACAGAGAAGAACCGCGGUGCUUUCGGCCUGGCAGUGCCGACGUGCUCUAGCAGGUUAUGGUGCAAUUCGCAAAGGGUGCAAGGCUGCCUCCUCGUCACACACCUGCAAACAAAAAUUGGCAAAAGAGUUUUCAUCAGACAGUACACGGAUAAUUUGGCCAGCCAGAUAGUACCAGAGAACAGACAUCUUGAUGCUAUGGCUGCAGCAUUCAAGGCAACGUUGGUCAGCUCUUGAACAUAGGUAUCAGGCUUGAAAAGAAGGAUAUUGUAGCAAAUUUACUGACAAUGCAGAUCACAGAAGAUGGCAAAACUCUUGUUUCCUUGACUAGGGCAUGACUGGCCUAGAGGUUUGCUGAAUUUUUUUUGAAUUCGGUGAGGAAGAGAUAGGGAGAUGGAGGAUUUUGACAAAUGAGGCUUGAAAAAUAGCAUCUUGAAAUACGUACAAAACGUAUUUUUACACAUGCUGUCUCUUCUUCCUGAUGCUUAACUGAAACUGGAGCAUGAAAUGGAGAACUCCCAGCAGUUGAGUUUUAUAUGUUUAAUUCUGGUCACAGAAAACUAUCUUGAUAUGUGAGCUAUGUUUCCCCCUUGCCAAUAGAAGCCAGCUACUAAGCUGAGGCUACCCACUGUUAAUUAAAUCAUGUUACGCUAAAAACCUGCAGCACAAAUACAUGGUAGCAGAGCAUGUUCUGUGUGCUGUUCCUUUCUCAUGUGAUAAGCAGUGCAUUUCCUCAAUGCAUGCACAUUGCUUACAUUUUUAGAGCCAUUAAGCUGCGAUAAUUAUGGAACAAUCUAGGCAAUGUUCAAUAGCCCAUGCAGAUGCCUGACAGGGCAUGUUGUCUCUUAAUUAGGAAUUUGAAUGCCUAAUGCUUGUAUAUUAACUGAAAUAAUUGGAUAGAUGUUUUACAUUUUCUUCACUUUUACUGACAACCAAGCUAGGGACCACACGAAUCAACAUAUCUUCCUGAAACAGCUCAUUUUGUUUGCGUAUUCUAGGUGACCUAACUUGUUGCUUAAGUGGAAUUUUUAAGAGAAUUAAUUCUAAUUGCUGUGUAAAGAUAUUGGAAGAUGUUCCUCAGUAAGUCUAUCUUACUGCUUCCCGUAAUAUUAUAAUCCUUAUCGUGUAACUACUACUCUUUUUUAGUUCCUCCAAAAUCAGGUAGAAUUACA
rnacentral:lncRNA from 1 species